rnacentral:rRNA from 1 species
AGUGAACGCUGGCGGUAGGCCUAACACAUGCAAGUCGAACGGCAGCACAGGAGAGCUUGCUCUCUGGGUGGCGAGUGGCGGACGGGUGAGGAAUACAUCGGAAUCUACCUUUUCGUGGGGGAUAACGUAGGGAAACUUACGCUAAUACCGCAUACGACCUACGGGUGAAAGUGGGGGACCGCAAGGCCUCAGGCGAUUAGAUGAGCCGAGGUGCGAUUAGCUAGUUGGCGGGGUAAUGGCCCACCAAGGCGACGAUCGGGAGCUGGUCUGAGAGGAUGAUCAGCCACACUGGAACUGAGACACGGUCCAGACUCCUACGGGAGGCAGCAGUGGGGAAUAUUGGACAAUGGGCGCAAGCCUGAUCCAGCCAUACCGCGUGGGUGAAGAAGGCCUUCGGGUCGUAAAGCCCUUUUGUUGGGAAAGAAAUCCUGUCGAUUAAUACUCGGUGGGGAUGACGGUACCCAAAGAAUAAGCACCGGCUAACUUCGUGCCAGCCGCCGCCGUAAAAC